UAUCACUGUUUCCCAUUUUAAUGUGAAGUUAGUGAAUACUGUUGAGUCAAAUUGGCUUAAAGGCUAACAUUAGCACUCGCUAGUAACCUAACCCAGAGACACUUAUAUAUGAGGAGACACUGCACUGGAAAAAUCGCCCAUUGAAAAGCAUGGGGUAACUUCGUAACGCGAAAGAUGGCGGUUGUUUACACCGGUUGGCUAUGGUUUGCACGUCCCGCCUCUUCCAGUGCCGUUGCUCCAAUCAUUUGGCCGAUCCUUGGCGGUCAUGCUUUUUGAAAGCUGCGUCGGGAAGAAUAGAGCAUGCGCAGUCCAAAAUUACCAGUAAGAAAAAGGCUUUUUAAGCGUUAAUUUGAUACAAAACCACCAAACCUUUUCAGCGAUUUUAGUCAGAUUUUCAUCGCGAUUUCAAACAUGUGAUUUGUAUGUCUCUUACACCUCGGAACAUGGACAUCCAGCUCUCUCCCCAUUCAUUUAGAUAGAGCCUGGUCUUGUUCCGGUCAAAGUCGCUGCCCGACCCCAUGGCCAAUAUGGCUGCCGAGUGACGUGACUUGCUUUAAAAAGACUUUGCCUAACCUUAUGAACAAACCUUAUGAAACGUUCUGCUAGCUGCUAACGUUAAUCCCUCUCACACAGAUAACCACCAUGGCAGAAUGUUGGCGUGUGGAAGUACCUCUACUCAGAGUGAUAGAGAAAACUAUGGCUCUGCUUUUACUGAAGGAAUGGCUACCGGAGCGGGCAGCUUUAUGAAUAUAAGGUGAAAAGGAUGUAUGGAGAAGUGUUGGGAGAGUCAGACAGUCCACGGAACUUGCAAUGACUUAGCAAUGAUCUAUGCCAGACGUACAACCCCUGCUGUCAUUGGUGAUACCACUGCUUGAAAAUAUGUCAACGUCCUGUAGAUCAAGUAAGGUUCCAGUCGAAGUCCUCCUGAAGAAUUUGUUGGAUUUCUGCCAGUUUUUGAUAUUGAACUUUAGUGCCUUUUGAGACUCUUGGCUUUUUAAUGGCACGCCUCAUUCUACCCAAAUGGAAGGAUUGGAGUGUGUUUAUAUUGUAUAUGUUUAUAGGCUUGCUAAUAUUUGCUUAGGCUUUCACAUUGUUUUCUGAGAUAUUACUCAAUGAUGUCAUUGUGACUCAUUGUAUCACACUUCAAGACGCGUAUCUUUCACUCAAUUAGUGUAUGCACUGUGAAUCCAAACAUGAGAAUUCUAAGAUUAUAGCAACUGCAAAGUUACUGCAAGGACAAUGUUAGUUUUGUAAAAACCUUAAGUGAC